CAGAACGAGGGUGGAGGUGCUUCCCUGGGACCUGAGGAAGACAAACUCGGGGUAUCAUUUCUGCUUGAGGUUUUUUACCCCUCCCACUCAUUGCCAGAAGGACUCCAGGGGGCAGAGGUCCGUGAAACUAAGAAGGCUCAGUGGAGCUGACUGUUCACAGCACCACAAAUGGAGCCAGCACAGCCCUGUGCAGUAGCCAGCUAUUCAGACAGAACCAGCAGUGGGCUCAAAAACUCAGCGCAUGCUCCUUGGCUACCUGGUGCAGCUGUGACUUUAUGGCUGUGGGGUCCCAUUCCCUCUAGUCACACGUACUAUCUGCAUCUGUCUCCAAAUUGUAAACAAAAAUAGUAAAAAAAAAAAAAAAAA